rnacentral:rRNA from 1 species
UUAAGAGUGUAUGGUGGAUGCCUUGACAUAUAACGCCUAAGAAGGACGCGUCAGUCUGCGAUAAGUCUCGGGGAGGUGACAGUAACCUAUGAUCCGUGAAUUUCCGAAUGGGGAAACCUACUGUUUAACAGUAGUUGGCGAUGAAUACAUAGUCGUCAACGGCGAACGAGGGGAAGUGAAACAUCUCAGUACCCUCAGGAAAAGAAAUCAAGUAAGAGAUUACCAAAGUAGUGGCGAGCGAAAUGGUAAGAGCCCAAACCAGUAUUAUUAAUUUAUUGCUGGGGUUGUGGGACUGCAAUGUGAGACUCAAAGUUUAUACUAAUAGCUUGGAAAAGCUACCCAAAGAAGGUGAUAGGCCUGUGGUUUAAAAACGUAUGAGCUCUAGCAGUAUCCCGAGUACCAUUCGACACGUGAAAUCGAUUGGGAAUCCAGGAGGACCACCUUCUAAGGCUAAAUAUUACUUAACGACCGAUAGUGAACAAGUACAGUGAUGGAAAGGUGAAAAGAACCCCGAGAGGGGAGUGAAAUAGAAUCUGAAACCGUAUAUUUACAAGCAGUCGAAGCACUUCAUAUGUGCGACGGCGUACCUCUUGCAUAAUGAGUCAGCGAGUUAUUUUUGCAUGCGAGCUUAAGUCGUAAGAUGGAGGCGUAGCGAAAGCGAGUCUUAAUAGGGCGAUAGUAUGCAGGAAUAGACCCGAAACCCGGUGAUCUAAUCAUGGCCAGGCUGAAGCGAGGGUAACACCUCGUGGAGGGCCGAACUUGUUAGGGUUGAAAACCUUUAGGAUGAGCUGUGAUUAGGGGUGAAAGGCCAAUCAAACUGGGUGAUAGCUGGUUCUCCCCGAAAUAUAUUUAGGUAUAGCGUCGGAUAAAUUGUAUCAUGGAGGUAGAGCACUGAUUGGGCUAGGGGUCCUUACCGGAUUACCAAACCCAGAUAAACUCCGAAUACCAUUGAUAUCUACUCCGGCAGGCAGACGCGGGGUGAUAAGGUCACGCGUCGAGAGGGAAAGAGCCCAGAACAACAGCUAAGGUCCCUAAAUGCACACUCAGUGGAAAACGUUGUGGAGUUACUUUGACAACUAGGAGGUUGGCUUAGAAGCAGCAAUCCUUUAAAGAAAGCGUAAUAGCUCACUAGUCUAGUGACUCUGCGCGGAAGAUACAACGGGGCUAAGUGUGUUACCGAAGCUUUGUCUUGUCGUAAGACAGGGGUAGGGGAGCGUUGAAGUGUAGGCUGAAGGUUGACCGAUAGGGCAGCUGGACGAACUUCAAGUGAUCAUGCUGACAUAAGUAGCGUUGAACUCGGGUGAAAAACCCGGGCGUCGAAAACUCAAGGGUUCCUGGGCAAGGAUAAUCCUCCCAGGGUUAGUCGGGACCUAAGGCGAGGCCAAGUGGCGUAGUCGAUGGAAAAACGGUUAAUAUUCCGUUACCGUAUGCAAAAUUGGUUCAGGAAAGACAGAAUAGGUAGUCUCAGCCUCUUAUUGGAUUGAGGUGUAAGCGUGUAGGUGGUGUCGUUGGCAAAUCCGCGGCACAACACUGAUGCGUGAAUGCGUGCUGUUUACAGCUGAAGUGAGAGGAGCCAUGUUCUCAAGAAAAUUUUCGGAAUUUAUUUGCAGCGCCCGUACCGUAAACCGACUCAGGUGAGUGGGGUGAAUAUCCUAAGACGAUGGGGUGAAUUGUGGUUAAGGAACUCGGCAACUUAUCACCGUAACUUCGGGAAAAGGUGAGCCUUCGUGAGUGUAUGAACUUGAUUCAAAAGCUUAUGAAGGUCGCAGAGAAAUGGGAGUAGCGACUGUUCAUCAAAAACACAGGCAUGUGCAAAGUCUCAAGACGACGUAUACAUGCUGACGCCUGCCCGGUGCUGGAAGGUUAAGAGGAUUUGUCAGCGCAAGCGAAGCAGAGAAUCGAAGCCCCAGUAAACGGCGGCCGUAACUAUAACGGUCCUAAGGUAGCGAAAUUCCUUGUCGGGUAAGUUCCGACCUGCACGAAUGGCGUAACGACUUCUCCGGUGUCUCAACCACAUGCCUCGCGAAAUUGAAUUCUCGGUGAAAAUGCCGAGUACCCGCAGAAAGACGGAAAGACCCCGUGAACCUUUACUGUAGUUUGACAGCGAUUUUAGAGUUUGUCUGUGUAGGAUAGGUGGGAGCCUUUGAUGCAGUGGCGCUAGUUACUGUUGAGGCGUCCUUGAAAUACCACCCUGAUUGACUUUGAAAUCUAACCUGCUUCUUUACAAGAAGAGGGACACUGUCUGAUGGGCAGUUUGACUGGGGCGGUCGCCUCCCAAAAAGUAACGGAGGCGCGCGAUGGUCCCCUCAGCCUGAUUGGAAACCAGGCGUCGAGUGCAUUGGCAUAAGGGGGCUUGACUGCGAGACCUACAAGUCGAGCAGGUGCGAAAGCAGGCCAAAGUGAUCCGGUGGUCCCGCGUGGAAGGGCCAUCGCUCAACGGAUAAAAGGUACUCCGGGGAUAACAGGCUUAUUCCAUCCAAGAGUCCAUAUCGACGAUGGAGUUUGGCACCUCGAUGUCGGCUCAUCACAUCCUGGGGCUGGAGCAGGUCCCAAGGGUUUGGCUGUUCGCCAAUUAAAGUGGUACGCGAGCUGGGUUCAGAACGUCGUGAGACAGUUUGGUCCUUAUCUUCUGUGGGCGUAAGAAAUUUGAGUAGACCUGUCCUUAGUACGAGAGGACCGGGAUGGACAAACCUCUGGUGUUUCUGUUGUCGCGCCAGCGGCAUUGCAGAGUAGCUAUGUUUGGAAGAGAUAACCGCUGAAAGCAUCUAAGCGGGAAGCUAACUACAAGAUAAGAUCUCUCUAGAGCUUGCUCUCUUAAGACUCCUCGGAGACUACGAGGUUGAUAGGCAGUGGGUGUAAUGGCAGUAAUGCCUUCAGCUGAACUGUACUAAUAGGUCGUGAGGCUUUUAA